UACGAAGGUGGCAAGCGUUGUUCGGAUUCACUGGGCGUACAGGGUGUGUAGGCGGUUUGGUAAGCCUUCUGUUAAAGCUUCGGGCCCAACCCGGAAAGCGCAGAGGGUACUGCCAGGCUAGAGGGCGGGAGAGGAGCGCGGAAUUCCCGGUGUAGCGGUGAAAUGCGUAGAGAUCGGGAGGAAGGCCGGUGGCGAAGGCGGCGCUCUGGACCAGCACUGACACUGAGGCACGAAAGCGUGGGGAGCAAACAGG
rnacentral:rRNA from 1 species